rnacentral:rRNA from 1 species
GACGAACGCUGGCGGCGUGCCUAAUACAUGCAAGUAGAACGCACAGUUUAUACCGUAGCUUGCUACACCAUACACUGUGAGUUGCGAACGGGUGAGUAACGCGUAGGUAACCUGCCUGGUAGCGGGGGAUAACUAUUGGAAACGAUAGCUAAUACCGCAUAAUAUUGAUUAUUGCAUGAUAAUUGAUUGAAAGAUGCUAUUGCAUCACUACCAGAUGGACCUGCGUUGUAUUAGCUAGUAGGUGAGGUAACGGCUCACCUAGGCGACGAUACAUAGCCGACCUGAGAGGGUGCUCGGCCACACUGGGAGUGAGACACGGCCCAGACCCCUACGGGAGGCAGCAGUAGGGAAUCUUCGGCAAUGGACGAAAGUCUGACCGAGCAACGCCGCGUGAGUGAAGAAGGUUUUCGGAUCGUAAAGCUCUGUUGUAAGAGAAGAACGGGUGUGAGAGUGGAAAGUUCACACUGUGACGGUAUCUUACCAGAAAGGGACGGCUAACUACGUG